UACGUAGGGGGCAAGCGUUGUCCGGAUUUAUUGGGCGUAAAGAGCGUGUAGGCGGCCAGACAGGUCAGCUGUGAAAACUCGAGGCUCAACCUCGAGACGUCGGUUGAAACCGUCUGGCUAGAGUCCGGAAGAGGAGAGUGGAAUUCCCGGUGUAGCGGUGAAAUGCGCAGAUAUCGGGAAGAACACCCGUGGCGAAGGCGGCUCUCUGGGACGGUACUGGCGCUGAGACGCGAAAGCGUGGGGAGCGAACAGG
rnacentral:rRNA from 1 species